GUAGUCAUAUGCUUGUCUCGCAGAUUAAGCCAUGCAUGUCUAAGUGUAAAUGUUUUACAGUGAAACUGCGAAUGGCUCAUUAAAACAGUUAUUGUUUGUUUGGAGCAUCCAUCUGCGGAUAUCCGUGGAAAUCCUACAGUUAAUACGUAAGCCACUUAUGUGGUGUAGCAUAUUACUGUGAAAGGAUGGUAUCUUCUGAUACUAAUUAUGAAAACUUUUGUGCACUUAUCGUACAUUGUACGAGUGUCCAUCAAAGUUUCUGACCUAUCAGGUUUCGACGGUUGGGUAUUGGCCAACCGUGCCGACAACGGGUAACGGGGAAUG
rnacentral:rRNA from 1 species